rnacentral:rRNA from 1 species
UGGGGAAUUUUGCACAAUGGGGGAAACCCUGAUGCAGCGACGCCGCGUGAUUUAGUAGGCCUUCGGGUUGUAAAAAUCUUUUCUAUGGGAAGAAAAUGACAGUACCAUAGGAAUAAGGACCGGCUAAUUACGUGCCAGCAGCCGCGGUAAUACGUAAGGUCCGAGCGUUGUCCGGAAUCAUUGGGCGUAAAGGGUACGUAGGCGGGUAAGCAAGUUAGAAGUGAAAUCCUAUAGCUCAACUAUAGUAAGCUUUUAAAACUGCUCAUCUUGAGGUAUGGAAGGGAAAGUGGAAUUCCUAGUGUAGCGGUGAAAUGCGCAGAUAUUAGGAGGAAUACCGGUGGCGAAGGCGACUUUCUGGCCAUAACCUGACGCUGAGGUACGAAAGCGUGGGUAGCAAACAGG